ACCCAGUGACAUCUUUUUUUAAUCAAGUGGACACACUUUUGAUGUAUUUCUCAGUUACAAAGCUGACUUUUUUUUAAUGAAGGGAAUAAUUGCCAAGUACUUAAAUCUACCUGAGGUACACUUUUAAACCUCAUCUUCUAUUUCUUCCCUCUCUUCUGCAAAUGAACAAAACAAAACAUAAAGGUGGUUGUUGUAAGCUAAGUAUAUUUGUGGAGGGAGAAGAUAUGUUUUUAUAAAGUUAUUCUAAUGGCUAUUUGUGCAAAAAAAAAAAACACCAAUAAAAGUUGAUCAUAACUGCUAUUAUCCACUUAAAUGUUAUAGCACAAAACGUCCUUUGUGCAUUGGGGUCACUUUGAAGGCGUAGAGGUGAUGUGGGUUAUAAAAUCUGACAGCAUCCCAGAUGCUCAGAGUCACACUGCACUGUGUGCAAACAUCACUCAUUGCAACCGUCUCUUUCUCAUUUGUUAGUUGACUUUACCAAGUGCUCUAAGGAAGUGGAAACCAGAAGGAACGAAGCUCUGUGUUAGGAUCUAGGCUUCCCAUUUCUUGGGUACAACCCACUAGAACCCUGGGGUUUGAAUACAUCAGCAUCACUAAGACAUGGACUGAUUAGGAUGUUGGAUGAAUCUGGCACCUAGCUCUUAGCAGUGUGCUGUGCAUACAAAAGGAUCCUUAAGAUACACUGUUUGGUACUACAUCAAGGAACGGUAAACCCCAUCCCACCACCACCACCAAAUGGGACAUCUCCAUCAUCCCUAACCCCCGAAGGAAGAGGAGGCAGAGAGAUUGAGAGCAGAGACCAGGGAAGAUGCUGCAAGUCUCUAGACAUGAGGGGGCCUUUGUGCUCGUAAGCUCACUAUAGCUGUGGCUGUCGAUAUAUGAACCAGCCAGUCAGCAUUCCAGAGUGGUUGGGGUCAUGGAUGGGGUGUGGGGGUUGAGAGGGUCCCACCUCCAGCUGGGAGCUUUUGACAGUUGAUGAUUGCUUGAGAAGGGAGAGUCCGUUUGCAGUGGUGCAAUCUCUAAGUUGCUUUUGCACCACUGGGUUACCUCCCAGGCCAAGGCCUGUUCUGAUUGGACUCUGGCUUAUAAAGUAAAAGAAGAUAGGAAAAUUGGAGAGGGAUGAGGAGGGGUCUGGGGAAGUUUGGGUAUGAGAAAGGUAGAGUGGAUAUGAUCGAAAUGCGAGGGGUGUGUAUGUGUGUGUGUGUAUAAUAAAGAAUAGCUAAAUAAAAUUUCAGAGGCACCUGAGCGUUUAGCCUUCAGUUUCACCUCAGGAGUCCCCAAGAGUUAGGACAUGUGAGUCAGAGCAGUUGCCCUUCGCACCCUUGCUCUCUCCCACCCACGGGGGCUGAGUCGCUGCCGCCCAGUAGGAUCAAGCACAAAGACGGUGGCUCCUGUUUUCUGGGUUCUGUGAUGGUUGAGGUCGGUCUUCUGCUAGGCCCUCAGUAGGAGUUCGGUGGAGGAGCCUGCCCUCCCUUCAUGCUGGAGGGUGAAAGACAUGAAGAUGAGUUACAGAAAUAUGUAAGUAAAAUCGAAAACAAGACACUGAUCACUGUGAAUUAUCUUGAAUGGGAUAAAAUUGCUAGUAUUUUUGUUGCUGUAGCAUUCUUUUUAAAAAUGUGCCAUAAACAGUCUAUAGUAAAAUUGAGAGACAAAAAUAGAAGCCUGUCUUUACCCUGAAAUAGAAUAAACUUCCUAAGAAGGGCAGGAAGGCUUUACCAGGGUUUGGUAGAGGAAGAAAAACUUGUUUUCAUAAAUAUUUGCUUUGUGAAGACACGGUGAAGAUAAUUGUUCAGGGCCAGGAUGUAGCCUAAUAGAGUGCGUGCAUGGCAUAUUUAAGGCCCUCAGUUAUCCCUAGCCUGACAAAAAGGUUUUCUUCCUAAUCUCUAAAGUCAAGUUGAAAGCUUUUAUUAAUUCUACGUGUAAUAGAGUUUAAAAAUAAGUUAUAUUCCAGUUUUUUCAGCAGUGAACUCCUAAGUCAAACCUAUCAAAUCCUUGUAAUGAACCUGUAACCAUUCGUCUUUUUAUAAUGAGAUUUUCUUAAAUUUGGUAAGAGAUUUAGCAUUUGACUCAGCUCCCUGGUCAGACUUGUUUUUUGAGGACCUGGACAGCGUUCCAUCCCUGGGAGUUAAAACCUGACAUAGGAUGAUGCUAUCAGAAAUGAGUCAUUUGGCUUGAAGCUGUGUGUGCCCUCUCAUGAAGCCAGCUUAUCUCAGAGCGUUUGUUAAUCUCCAGCGUUUAUGGCUGACUCUUUGAAUAUUAUAAUUUUACUCAGCCAUUCAUUGGAUGAAAAUUUGACCCUUAACAUGCUGCUAAAGAAACAAAUAGAAACUUAGUGCACGUCCAUCUAUUAAGUCAGGCACUGAGUCUGUGGCUCUCGUCUUCUGACCCGGCAGUACAAUUCUGUCUUGACAUUUCUAUACCAGUGCCAACACCACUCCUGGUCAAGACAGACAGAUCCUUAACCAGUGCAUAGCGCAUGCACUGGCUCCCUCUGCAGUCAGUGGGUCACCCCCCCACCCCCCUGUGCAACCCAGGUAGUCACUCCUCUACUCUGUCCCUGGGAAUUAAUCUUGUCUGUUCUAUUAUUUCAUUUAAGUUGAAUCAGAUGAGUUAUACUUUUGUGUUGAAGUUUUAUUUUUAGCUUAACAUGUUUUGACAUGUGUGCUGUUGUAUUUAUCAAUAGAUUGUUUCUUUUUAUUGGUGAAUAGUAUUCCUAUUAUAGUAUACUUCUUAUACUAAGUAAUAUACUACUAUUGGCCAAUCUGUGUAUCUGUUGAUAGAUACUCGGGAUAUUUCCAGUGUGGGAAUAUUUUGAAUAAAGCUAUUAUGGAUAUUUGUGAGC
rnacentral:lncRNA from 1 species